AUACGGAGGGGGCUAGCGUUGUUCGGAAUUACUGGGCGUAAAGCGCGCGUAGGCGGGCUGGUUAGUUGGGGGUGAAAUCCCGAGGCUCAACCUCGGAACUGCCCUCAAUACUGCCAGUCUUGAGUUCGAGAGAGGUGAGUGGAAUUCCUAGUGUAGAGGUGAAAUUCGUAGAUAUUAGGAAGAACACCAGUGGCGAAGGCGGCUCACUGGCUCGAUACUGACGCUGAGGCGCGAAAGCGUGGGGAGCAAACAGGAUUAGAUACCCCGGUAGUCC
rnacentral:rRNA from 1 species